AACGAACGCUGGCGGCAUGCCUAACACAUGCAAGUCGAACGAAGUCUUCGGACUUAGUGGCGCACGGGUGCGUAACGCGUGGGAAUCUGCCCUUGGGUGCGGAAUAACUUCUCGAAAGGGAUGCUAAUACCGCAUAAUGCCGUAAGACCAAAGAUUUAUCGCCCAAGGAUGAGCCCGCGUAAGAUUAGCUAGUUGGUGGGGUAAAAGCCUACCAAGGCGACGAUCUUUAGCUGGUCUGAGAGGAUGAUCAGCCACACUGGGACUGAGACACGGCCCAGACUCCUACGGGAGGCAGCAGUGGGGAAUAUUGGACAAUGGGCGAAAGCCUGAUCCAGCAAUGCCGCGUGAGUGAUGAAGGCCCUAGGGUUGUAAACUGCUUUUAUACAAGAGAAAACCCUGGUACGUGUACCAGGUUGAUAGUAUUGUAAGAAUAAGCAUCGGCUAACUUCGUGCCAGCAGCCGCGGUAAU
rnacentral:rRNA from 1 species